GUAGGAUUGAGAUUUUGUGCUCGUGGGCUCCCCCUACAGUUGCAGAGCGUAAUAAAUGUUUCAGGCGGAUUAGUUUCUCUUUCUCGUUUUCUGGAUUUCACAGACAUAUUCGGUCUCUUUCCAGCUUCUGCCAGAGUGUCUGUAUGUUAGUUUGUAAAGAAUGAACCAGUAGUCCUUGUAGAACUGUUAGAACUAAAGGUCGGAAAGCAGGUCGCAGUUCUUGCGAGCGUUGGUCGCGGUCGCAUCGGAAAACUUACAGAGUCUGGUUUGAGCUCAGAGGAGCUCCGGCACAGACACGAGAGCACCGCUAUUCCUCCUAUUACACCUCAAUGCAGCGCUGCAGUGAGUUUCAAGCUGUAAUUUUACUUCUUUAAAAAGUUUAAUAAUCAAGGAAAUCCUACCUAGUGCAGUACAGUACAGUAGCCUAGUAAGCCUUUGAGGCUUAACGGCCACUCAUACUGGCUCUAUGAGCUGGCUCAGAGUGCCUGAAUGAAUAUUUAUUAUAUGAAUUAAUUUAUGAUUAAGGUAUAAACUCUCACAAAACUCAUGACACUGAUAAACAUCCUAUUAAAAACAUUCUCACCUUUGUCUACAUUUGUUUAAUGUGUCUCAAAAUGUAUACAGUAUGUAUGAACACUAUAAUAAUAAUAAUAAUAAUAAUAAUAAUAAUAAUAAUAAUAAUAAUAAUAAUAUGUUUCUAAUCAACAACCACUUAUGGUAUCUUCACUUCAUCAUAUUUUCACUUAUGUUUGGACACAUAUAUAUACAUAUAUAUAGAUGUAUUUCAUGCAUAUUUCCCAGGUGAAGCUACUAAGACGAAAAAUGAAAUUGUUUACAAAGUGUAAGAAAACCCUUCGGGCUGCUGGAAUUGACUUGAACCUUCAGACUUGAUUUUUUUUAAGGUACAUGUAAGAAGAGUUGAUCCUUCUGUUUAUUGAGAUGCUGAGAUUCAGACGAAGAUUCAGGGCUGUGAUUUUGUGGAGCGAUUUACAGCUCUGUUUAUACACUGUUAUGAGCUACGUAAUACAUGAUAUUAAUAAUGAGUCGUAUUGUUAUGAGAUAUAUUAUAAUGUUGCAUUGUUCUGUAGAGUUUUAUUCAUCAGAGGAGAACGUAAUGUAAAAAAAAAAGAGAGAUUAUAUUAAUGUUUAUUAUAGUACACAUUAUAUUACUGUGCCAAACAUGGACACUGGCAUCGCUCACACUCACUACCAAUACCCAUUUCAACAGAGCUCAUUUACACUAUAGAGCAACUGGCGCAGUCUUAUUGCCAUCUGUUGGUUUUGGUGUGUACCCUUUGGAAGCUUCUAAUCCAUCUUCCAUCGUUCCAUCUUUGUUACAUUGCUUUAAAUGCAAUGAUUCACACCUACAGUAUAUUUUAAUACCUCUGGUUAGUUCACUGCCUUGUUUAAAGCAAAUGUAUCUGCGCUCAUUCGAACCCAUUCAAGCACCAACGCCAUCCAAUAGUCUAUCACUCUUUGAAAUGCCAAAGUAACAACAGAUGUUGAACACAAAGGGACACAGUUCAGUGGAGACGAGACGGACGCUCGUCGUCCCCUCUCCAUUGGUUCAUGCUGGAAGGACUUAGAAAAUGACUAAGGUGAUUUAAGGCAGCAUUUAAUCCAGUCCAUCUGUGUGCACUUCUUUCCUCAUACCCCUCUAACUGUGCUCUGUACAUAUAUGCAUUGAUCAAACUUUGUUAAUACAGCAUGUACCUACAACUCGAUGUACAUAGAAGCAUGUUCUGAAGAUAGAGCAGAAUUAUAUUGUGUGUAUGUGUGUGGCACUUGUCAUUUUGAUAAUAAAACGUAGAGGGAAAAAUGCACUGACUGCACAUUUUAUUAAAAAUCCCCCAGAACGGGUGUAGGACUGAAUGUAAAUUUAGAGCUAUAUUAUUAAUAGUAAGAGUCUUUCAGGUUACUUUUAUUGCCUGGAUUUGAGGAGCGCUACUGCAAGCUUGUGUGUCCAUUCUAAUCUGUACUCAGUCAGAAAGUCAAAACUUUUAUUUGUGGUUUUAUUUGUAAUUUGUGUAAUAAUUUGUGUCAUUAUUUGAAGGCUCCCUUCAUAGAGAGUUUAUAACACUGUAAAUGCAUUGAGAAUAGAAGCAUAAAACGAACACACACACAGACACUUACAAAAAUACGUAUUAAGGCAAAACAAGGCAAGGCAAGUUUUUUUUUUAAAUAGCACCUUUCAUACACAACAUUCAUUCAAAGUGCUUUACAAAUUAGAAAAUACAAAGAGAAUUAGUCAAAUAAAAAAAAACAUGCAACAAUAAAAAUGGAAAUAAAAUAAUAAAAUAAGAAUAAAGGAUGGAUAAAACAAAAUUAAAACAAAGAGAAAUUAUAAAUUGUAAUUUAAGAACAAUGUUAAAAAAAAAAAACGGAAAAGAAAAUACAAGACAUUAUAAUUAAAAUAGUAUUCAAGUAAUGAAAAAUUAAGAACAAAAAGCAAUGUUAACAGUGUGGAAAGCGCAGCUAAACAGAUGUGUUUCACAUCUCAACAUAUCAAAGCAACAAUUAUCAUUUAUUAUUUAGGAAUGUAUUUUUUUUAUUCUCCAUUAAUUAUUAAUUUGUACUUUUUUCCUUCUCUCCCAAUAAUGACUAAAUUACUCUCUAACAACAUGUAAACUUCUUUUCUAUCCUUACCUAUGUCCAUUUAAUAUAUAUUUUUUGUUUUUUGUUUUUUUCCUUCCUUUUAUCUACUUCUUUAUUUUUUUUUCUUCCUCCUUUUUUCUUUUUCUUUUGUAAGUUUUUUGUGUGCUCAUGUCCCUGUCCUUACUAAAUGAAUAACCAAUAAAAUUAAAGACUUAAAUAGUCCUCCGAAAAAGAAGACUUAUUAUUGAGGAAAUAUUGUAUUUAUUUAAUUUAAAUAUUAAAUAAAUACAGUAUUUGCUAUUCACUGUUACUCUCAAUAAUAUUAUAAUGGUUUUUUUUUAAGAACAGGCUGUGACAGUGACCACAAGACCACAUAAUGUGUUGUAAGUAGUAGCUUAAUACUAAAGUCAAGAGCAUUUGUUCCAGUUAUAACACAUCCAGUUAUGAAGCUUUGUUCCCAAGUAUUGUUCCCAAGGUUAUGCCUGUUUAUGAACACUUACCUAAAUCAGUUCUGUAUAUUUCUAGUUGGCAGAAAGUGUUUUAAACACUUUUUUCUCACUAUUCAAGGGAAUCAAUGAGGCAUCUACAACAAUACUAUAACAUCCAGUAGUAGGUGUAGCAGUGGUAAUGAUGCUUCAUUACAGUGUUACACCUGAAACAGUGCCAUUAUAAUAAAGAAAGAUAGGGCUUAUAUGUCAGUGCAAUGUUAUUUACUUCAUAAAAGUUCAUAAGUAUUGCUUUAUAAAACAGUUAUUCAGUGCCUAUGCUUGUGUUAUGAAAUCCCUAUGAAGUGAGCCUUCAAGUAACGUCUGUCCUUCAUAUAUGUCUUUUUUUAUGUGCUGUUAUGUGUGUUUUUGUUAUUGUUCAGACUGUGUUCAUGUGUUAAUAUGUGUGUGUUUUUACUGUUUGUUUAAGCCUAGUGAUAUUAUGAUAACACUUUCUAUGAAUGUCAUCUCUAUUACACUCUAUAAACAUACUGGUAUUCAUAACACAUUAUAAUGCAUUCAUAAGGCAUCUAAACGUACAACACAUUAUAGACAUGUUUAUUAUGUGUGGUAAAUUGUGAUUAUAAUACAUAAUAAGCUGUGAUUGUAAUAUGUUUCACAUCUGGGUUAAAAUAUAAAAUAGAUCAUAUUUCUGUUACUAUUAGUACUUUAUUUCCAUGACGGACAUGUGUCACUUUACCUAGAGUGUACAAUGACACAUUAUAAUACAUUAUACAUUAAUAAAAGCUAUUAUAAUAUUUAUAGUAGUCAUAGCUUUGUUGAGGUUCUUGUUAUCGACAUAUAUCAUAUUUUAAACACAGCCGAUGAUUAAUAAUAAUCACAUUUUAAAAUGCAUAAUAAACACAGCUAUAAACUGUUUAUAAUGCUUUUUGAAUGCAUUAUAAGGUGUUAUAAAUAUGUUUAUAGCAUCUAAUACAGAUGACAUUCAUAAAAAGUGUUACCAAUAUUAUUUUUCAGUUCUGGGUCUCUUUUUACUUCAGCUAAGGAGUAAAAACCCUAGUCAGAAGCCAUAUAUGAGACUCUAAUUCACAAUCCUUACAAUAUACACACCUCAGUGGUUACUAGAGAUAUAAAAAAAAAUACAUAUGUUGUUCCUUUAGAAAAAGGAUGCAAAUAAUAGACACAUUUCACUGUAAAAAAUAAAAUACUGUCUGUUAAAAGGCAGAAAAAUGUUUUAUCUCUUUAAAUGAACAUAAAAGAAGAGUUUCCCCAAAAGCUUCUUAAUCUUAAGACUGAACUGGUAAAGAGAGAGAGAGAGAGAGAGUGUUCAGUCUGAUGCUCGCUCGACCACUUAAGACUCGUAUUUAAGAUAAGAUGCUUUGGGGACACCCAGCUUUGUUCACCAAGAGACAGGACUCACACACACACACACACACACACACAUACACACACACACAUAUGUAACGCAAACAAAGGAAGUAUCAGUGCACUCGUCCUAGGCUAACUUUUUCAUCAGUUUAAUCAUAAAAACGAAUUGAUUUCUCGUUCUCAUUAAUGAAUCACUGUAAUGCUUGCAAAAAAUGACGAUUAGUAGUUUAUUACGAAUCUAGUGACCCACAAGUAACAGUGGCAUGAUUUUAUUAUGCAAUGUGUGUCUACGUCAAUGUAUGCCUGCGCGUGUGUGUGUCUCUUUUGUGUGUGUUUGAGUGUGUGUGAGCGUAAAGACGAGGCAGAAAACACUCAUUAAGGUCUGUUUGGGUGUUUUUUUUUUCUUGGAUGGUUGGCCAGAUGGCUAAUGGAUGAUGUAUCACCUGUUCAAAAGAAUGUGUAUAAUUAUAAAUGAUUAAAAUCAAAAAUGUUAUAUUUAAAGCCUGUUAUGUAAUGUUGUGAUCCUUUGUUUUCUUUUUUUAAUGAUGCUGUUUAAUGUCUGUCAUUACAGGAAAAAUGCUCUGAUUAGCUGAUUAGCCUACUGUUAAUAUAAUUAAAUCUAAUGUUUUUUUCUUUCUUUUUUUCCUCAUGAAAUUAUUAUAACGACAAGAAUACAGGCCAGCUGUUGUUGGUUUUAGCAAGCUUUACAGAAUGGCAAAACAUACAAUUCAUAAGUAUUUUACAUUGGCAUACUUUACUUUAAUUAUUUAACUAAUGUUUUUCGAUAGAUAUAUCAGCUCUGCUACAUAAAAUACAGAUCAAUUACACACCAUCAGCUAACAUUAGUUAGCUCUGUUACACAAUAGCCAUUAAUCUAGGUAACAUUAGUCCAACAUUCGUUCAAUUAUGCCACAUCAGAGAUCUUAUUAAUUCACUAAAUGCUGAAUCAAUGUGAUUUUUUGUAAUGCUAAGUCCCGCCCUUCAACAAAAAGAGCCAAUCAGCUUGCUGAUUGUGUGGAAAGCAGAGGAGAAUCAUAGUGCUAGUGAGGAAGCCCCCACACCACAACCACCCACUAAACCCCUACCACCCCCAACCCCCGCACAGAUGUAAACAUGGUAAAAAAGAAAGCAGGGCGGUACUCCUGCAGUUUGCUGGACAGGGAAACAGAAGAAUCCUCUAACAAUAAUCUGAUAAUCUACUUCAUCCGUGAGAUAUUCUGUUUACAGGCACUGAGACCUAGUUAAAGUAGCUACAUCUUUACCAUACCUCAAAUUCUCUCUGGAGUAACAGUUACACAAAAUCUGUGAUGUUCUCUUUGGGUCACCCAGGAACCCAGGAAUGAGCCCACAGUCGCUUCUUUCUCUUCUUUUUGCAUUUUUUUCUGAGCACAAAAGCGCUACCAUCAUGCAAAGUGCUUCUCUAGCCAUGAUUGUCUCUAGUAUGCUCCUCCCCUGUGAUGACCUAUGAACUCACACAAGGACGUGGACUAUGAUUGGUCGAUGACUAACAUGUAGCAUUGCCAGUUCCCCGAGUACAACACGAAACGAAGAUAACUGCUUAAUCUGACAUAGUGAACAUAAGACUUGGCAUAAGAGGCUUGUGCCAAGUUGCCUUUAAAGACUUUAUAAAGACCACAUCCACCAUGCUAACACUGGUUACAUAACAGUUACAUUACCGCAAAAUACAUGAUAUAUUAUUAUCUAUAUCUAUAAAUGUAUAUCAACAGUGAAUAGUCAAUUACAUACAUAUAAGCUAAAGCUAAAUUGUCCUAAUCAUUCUGUGAAGCUUGUCCAACCCAGCAAUCUAACUCUAUCUGUUUGACUAUUAGAAACAUCGAUUUUGUGCAUUUAAUACGUUUCCAAGAUGUUGGUCUACAAUGUGCAAUGUUUCUGAGUAUUAAUUUUUAUUUUAUUUUAUUUUUUACAUGUUGUUUUUGAAUUUUUUUGAGGCGUCAAAGGUUUGAGGUCACAGUCCGAGUGUUUGGUCUCUGGUACGGCUGCUCCUACAUGUCGUGUGCAUUUAUAAUUUCUUUUUAUAGUUCUUUUCAGGCUGCCUUGGACUUUUUAAUGCUGCUGCUUAGGACUGCUUCUUCUUGUGUGUGUCGUGAGCCUACGUUGCUAUAGGACCAAUGCAGAAUCAAAAGAAAUAAUGUCUCCAUGUUUCUUCUUCUGUGACCAUAAUUGAAAAAGCUGCAGAGGCUCUUUGCUCCCCUGCCAAGCAGACAACAAAAUCCCAGUCUUCCCUGGGACACUGUGGACGCCAGCGACUGGCCCCAUUCCCCAGUUCCAGACAUUCGAUUCCACCACCCGUCAGAACCACGUCAACCGCAGAGACCUUUUGCCGACGCAAUACUGCCGACACUGCUGCUGCUUUACUAACAUGAACCUAACACUCUUCCCCCAGCGCUCAUCUUCUUCACCGUGGCACCGAGUAAAGACUAUUUUCUCCCAAAGAACUGAACUGCUCGCCCUCUUCCCUUUUUCGUCUCGUGUAGAGGUACCUGUAUCAGUGAUUCCUUUUGUGGAUGCUUUGGCAUGCUUUACCUUCUCUUACAGAGGAACACAUUUGCCACUGGAAAAUAAGCCUUUGCUACUCCCGUAGCUUAAUUUAGCUUAUUGCCAUCCUGCAAACCUGAAAUGUCAAAAAAAAAAAAAAAACAUUAACUGAUACCAACCACUGCAAAAAAAAAAAAAAAAAAAAAAAUGUUACAUGCAGAUCCAUCCACUGGUUUUACCAACUAGCUAAUCAUAUAAAAUAAAAUAAAUGCCUUUUAAAUA